rnacentral:rRNA from 1 species
CCUACGGGAGGCAGCAGUGGGGAAUAUUGCACAAUGGGGGAAACCCUGAUGCAGCGACGCCGCGUGAGUGAAGAAGUAUUUCGGUGUGUUAAGCUCUAUCAGCAGGGAAGAAAAUGACGGUACCUGACUAAGAAGCCCCGGCUAACUACGUGCCAGCAGCCGCGGGAAUACGUAGGGGGCAAGCGUUAUCCGGAUUUACUGGGUGUAAAGGGAGCGUAGACGGUGCUGCAAGGCAGAAGUGAAGGCCCGGGGGUCAACUCCGGGACUGCUGUUGAAACUGGGGGACUGGAGUGCAGGAGAGGUAAGCGGAAUGCGUGGUGUAGCGGUGAAAUGCGUAGAUAUCAGGAAGAAC